rnacentral:rRNA from 1 species
GACGAACGCUGGCGGCGUGCCUAAUACAUGCAAGUCGAGCGAAUCUCGAGGAGCUUGCUCCUUGAGGUUAGCGGCGGACGGGUGAGUAACACGUGGGCAACCUGCCUGUAAGACUGGGAUAACACCGGGAAACCGGUGCUAAUACCGGAUAAUUCUUUCCCUCACAUGAGGGAAAGCUGAAAGUUGGUUUCGGCUGACACUUACAGAUGGGCCCGCGGCGCAUUACCUAGUUGGUGAGGUAACGGCUGACCAAGGCGACGAUGCGUAGCCGACGUGCGAGGGUUAUCAGCCCCACGGGAAGAGAGACACGGCCCAGGCUUCUACGGGAGGCAGCAGUAGGGAAUCUUCCGAGAUGGACGAAAGUCUGACGGAGCAACGCCGGGUGAGUGAUGAAGGCCUUCGGGUCGUAAAACUCUGUUGUUAGGGAAGAACAAGUACCGGAGUAACUGCCGGUACCUUGACGGUACCUAACCAGAAAGCCACGGCUAACUACGUGCCAGCCGCCGCGGUAA